ACGUUAAGCAUUUUAGAAUGUCCCGUUUUCAUGAUGUGACUUUCUCAUCACCUGUUUUUGGUAGUUUGUUAGUGUAUUUCAUUGUUACAAAACAUAUUAGUAGGCUACUUCUAUAGGUUAGUAUAUUAAUAUUAUAUCAGAUAAUGAAAUUAUAAAAUUCUCCUCUUCAGCAAGCACAUACAUCCUAUAGUGAAAACAGCACUGAUCCAAACACCCAGAAACUCACAUGAUAACAACUUCAAACUUCACAGAUAACACUCACAACAAGCAUUUAGCCAACUCCCAUUUACAGAUGUGAUAUAUAGUGUGUUAAAAUGUUACCUUAUGUGAGUUGAAAGUUUAAAUGAAGCAGGAGAAAGUGUGUGUCGUUCCUGUGGUUUUUCAAACGGUGUGUGAUCAUCUGCGGCAAGUUCAAGCUCAAACCGGAGUGCACCGGUUUCUAUGAAACGUUUCAUUAGAUGAUCGGACACACUUUAAUUUCUGGUGCUUCUAAUUCAGUGAUAAACAGCAGUUGCAAAUGAUGUACAAAAUAAAUACUGGCUACACACCUUUGCACCAACAAAACGUGUAGCGCUUUGUUUUACUGACAAAUUAUAUGUAAUAUAUAAAUUAUUAUUAAUAUUUAACUUGCAUUGGAGAGGUUUCCGUGACCUCUCGCGAUCUUGACAAAAAGUCUCGCGAUUUAUUUCCACAACAUGAUGCAUGAUGGGAUACACUAAGCCAAGAUAGUGUGGAUUUAGUGUGCGUUAAGGGCACUGCGCUUUGGCGUUUUUAAGAUCUGGACAGUCUUACUUCCUGACGCGCGCACGCGCUCUCGUGUGGCCAAGACUUGGUGCUUCUAAUUCAGUGAUAAACAGCAGUUGCAAAUGAUGUACAAAAUAAAUACUGGCUACACACCUUUGCACCAACAAAACGUGUAGCGCUUUGUUUUACUGACAAAUUAUAUGUAAUAUAUAAAUUAUUAUUAAUAUUUAACUUGCAUUGGAGAGGUUUCCGUGACCUCUCGCGAUCUUGACAAAAAGUCUCGCGAUUUAUUUCCACAACAUGAUGCAUGAUGGGAUACACUAAGCCAAGAUAGUGUGGAUUUAGUGUGCGUUAAGGGCACUGCGCUUUGGCGUUUUUAAGAUCUGGACAGUCUUACUUCCUGACGCGCGCACGCGCUCUCGUGUGGCCAAGACUGCAAGUGUGUGUAUUUGGACGAGGCAGUUGUCUCUUGUUU
rnacentral:lncRNA from 1 species